AAUUCCUCUCUCAUCUCUCUCUCUCUCUCUCUCUCUCUCUCAAUCCUUCCGCCUCUCUCCUCUCUAUCCCUUUCCCAAUCCAACCAAACCUCUCACUUUAUUUUUUUUCCCAAUUUUUCCUAUUUCCUUAUCUCUCUCACUCUCUGGAUUCUUCUUUGGCUCCUUCGAGGAGGUCUCGCCGCAUCUCACUUCCUGGUCACAAAUGUCGACUUUCCAUGGACCUUCUUUCUACGUCUCGACAUUGGUUCCAUCAUCAACUUCACCUCCGUUUGCUCGUACUCGAUCCGAGAUCUACUCACUUAAUUGGCCGCCUACUCGUGUGUUCUUGCUUGACUAGCCGAUGGCACACCAUGCAUACUUGACCUGAGAUUUAGUCGUGGUCGCUCUGAGAGCGAUGGGUUAGUUUUUUCCUUUUUGUUGACGGGUAAUUUUUUCGUUUAAUUUUUUUUUUUGAAUUUUCGAUUUAAUUAUUUGCCUUAUUUAAUUUCUAGGCUCUUGUAUGAAAGGGGCGAAAAACUAGUACUCUUGGAAAGGAUUUGGCGAAAUUCCUAUUACCUUACUCCAAACCCGUGAAUUUCAGCUGAUUUAUCCCCUUUCCAGCUUGAUAUUUUAGCGGAUUAGGAUUUAGGUUGCUCUCGGUUCUAUGGACUUCAUUGAUGAUUUAGCAUCUCGGAGUUUGGGUUCUUACCAAUUUCAGUUUCGAAGAUAUUAUUAUAGAUAUCAGGGUUUGUAUUUGACUAUAAUCUGGCUGAACUCACAAGCUCAUAUUUGUAGUGAUGGAGGAUAUAGGGUUGUCUAGACAAGCUUGGAUAUGUCUGCAGUCACAGAAACACAUUUAUUCACGAUUGCGAACUGCAAUCGGUGGGUGUGGAGAUAAAAUCGGGAUGUUUGUAGAGCGGCAUUGGCCGAUGUUGUGCAGAUUUCUUUUAUUAUUUCAGAUUUCUUAUUAUAAUCUGAAUAUGUAGUUUAACAUUUUUGAGGUCGUUGAUUUUUUGGGUUCAAUACAUCUUAAUUCUAAGAACAGGAGAUUUGACUCUGUAAGUGCAAGUCUUGAAUUGCUCCGCUCUCCGAGUGUAAGUACAUCUCUGCAUAUCUUUAUUUCCUCAAUUAUAUUUGACUUUGUUACGUUGAGUUGCCAAAUUAAAGAUAUUGCACUACCUUUUCGAUACUACAUUAAAUCUAGAACAUGCGAAACAUAAAAUUUUGAGUGUUAAUUAGUGGACGGGCUGCAUUUUAAAUUUGUAAACACCCAUACUAAUGGUUUGCAGCUUGAUAGUUGUACCAAAUCUCUUUUUCUUAUUCGCAUGUGCAUGUCCAUGUGUAGACCUUUUUGUAGCUUUCUAAGUUUGGGUUUUUCGUGAUGUGUGCUUACGUGGUUUGGGAUUACUUUCCUUUGCAAGCCUGAGUAUUUAAUAAAGCUUUGCGCUUUCAGAUUAAGGUAAAGUUUGAUUAUAUCUUAUAGUUAAUUCUGAUGCCCAACGCAAGGUGUAUAAUUUUUUUCCAUUACACUUAUAUGUUCUAUCAAUUAAACUCCAGACCAACUACAAAUCUCCUAAGUUCUUUAAAUUCGGGUUUGUUAUAUGUUGUAGGAAAUGGCAUAUUUUGAGAUAUUCUGCAUCUUCUUUCUUUAGUUCUUUACAUUUGAAAGAGUGAGAAUUAUAUUGUUGGGACUUUGGAUUCUAUUUUUAUGUCCUAAUUUGUGUGAGGAUUGCUUGCCAUCCAUAUAAGAAUGUUACUAAAGUGUCAGGCAAAAGUCUUUAUGUUUCAAUCACAAACAAGUGCAUGUAUACAUAGCAGAAUUACACCAAUUAAUCUGUGGGAGGAAGGAUAUACAACAGCUCAUGAGAUAAAGGUAAAGAAUCAUAAUUUGAAAAUUUGGAAGCCACUACAUACUCAUUUCUUGUUGCUCUGUGUAAAUGAUGUUUUAAGAGCUUUUUGGUAGUCUAAAUUUAUAGUUCCAUCCUUUUCAGCGGUAUCCAAUAUGAUAAUUUGUUUUACUGCUCGAUAUAUAUCUUACUCAUGGUCAUUUUUCAGAGGCUAUCAGAGCAGGGGCUGUCAACACUGGGUUCUAUGCGGAGAUCUCAAAGUUCAUAGAUCUGAGGAAAGAAAUGUAUACUCAUCUACCUGCACUGAUCUAAAGCUUGAUCUGUGAAUAGUUAAGGUGACUCAUGCCUGCCAUAAAAACCAAACUUCAACAUCAAUGUUCUGUCAUAAACCAUUCCCACAUGCAUCCUAGACGAUUUCUUGCAGACCAAAUAUGCAUAUGUCACCAGUCUUCAAUCGUGUAUGCAUACAUGAGCUGCGACAAGCAAUGGAAGAGACCUACAUGGGUGGACUGCUCUCCAUAAACCUGUUUCAAAGGGAAGAUAGAAGUCAUUCGAACACUGCUUGAAAAGGGUGUGGAUAUGAAUGCUAAAGAUGAGGAUGGAUACAUCGCGUUGCAUUGUGCAGCGGAGUCGGGACAUGUGGAUGUGAUUAAGAUAAAGAAAGGAGUUGAUGUUGAAGCUCGAACUAACAAAGGUGUGAUUGCACUGCAGAUUGCUGAGUCUUUGCACUACGUUGGGAUUACUAGGAUACUUAUUCAUAGAGGUGCAACAAAAGACAAUAGUAAUAUGGCACAUAUCUUGACCCAUGCCUCAGUUUCAUUUGGGGAAAAAAAUCUAUGGGACUAGAAGAGGAGAUCAUCAAAGGAGGAAUGAAGAAGAAGAAAUCGAGUCGAGCUAGAGCUCUUCGUGGGAGCUUCGAUCGUUCGAUGCCGUUGGUUGUUGUUUAGCUAGUAAAGCUGGAACUAAUAUUGGGGGUAAAUUACACAGUAACCCCUCAGGUUUUGAGGUCUAUUACAACUCCAUACAACAACUUUAAAACAUUUCACUUUUAUACCUCAAGUACUAUUUUAUUUCAAUAUAAUACAUCCGUUGGAUUUUCCAUUCAUUAAUCUGUUAAAUACUGACGUGG